UACAGAGGGUGCAAGCGUUGUUCGGAAUUACUGGGCGUAAAGCGCGUGUAGGCGGCAUCGUAAGUCAGGUGUGAAAUCCCUCGGCUCAACCGAGGACGUGCAUCUGAAACUGCGAAGCUUGAGUAUCGGAGGGGGUGGCGGAAUUCCCGGUGUAGAGGUGAAAUUCGUAGAUAUCGGGAGGAACACCUGUGGCGAAGGCGGCCACCUGGACGAUAACUGACGCUGAGACGCGAAAGCGUGGGGAGCAAAC
rnacentral:rRNA from 1 species